GAAGUCGACUCAAAUAAACGAUCAAGAAGGACUGUACAAUUGCCACCAAUGUGAAUGUGGAGACUGAUGAGCAAUGUCUAAAAGGUAGCAGCAGGGGAACAGAAGGAGCCCAAAACACUGCUCUUCAUAUGGAACACAUCCAACCUCCAGGUGUCCAUGCAGGAUGUACCACUCUGGAACAUCAAACCUCUCCCUACCCGCCAGGUACACCC